rnacentral:misc_RNA from 1 species
AACGCAAAUUGCGCCCAACGCUCCGGCUAAGGGCAUGUCUGCCUCAGCGUCGGCAUACCCCCAUCGCCCACUCACAUAGUGAGCGGAUAUGGCAGUCCCAGUCAGGGUCGGCCGAAUUACAGCAGUGUCUGCCAGGACCCGCCCUGUUGGCGUGGCUAUUCAGUUCGGUAGGUAACCCAUUGGUUGCAUGCCACUGUUGGCCAUUGUGGCUCUGCGCAGCGUACUGGCAGGAAACGAGGGCGUCAGCCCUAUUCUCACUUCGACCUGAGGUCAGGCAAGAUUACCCGCUGAACUUAA